rnacentral:rRNA from 1 species
UACGUAGGGGGCUAGCGUUGUCCGGAAUUAUUGGGCGUAAAGAGCGUGUAGGCGGUCCGGUAAGUCAGCUGUGAAAGUCAAGGGCUCAACCCCUUGAAUGCCGGGUUGAUACUGUCGGGCUAGAGUCCGGAAGAGGCGAGUGGAAUUCCCGGUGUAGCGGUGAAAUGCGCAGAUAUCAGGAAGACACCUAUGGCGAAGGCAGCACUCUGGGACGGUACUGACGCUGAGACGCGAAAGCGUGGGGAGCGAACAGGAUUGAGAUACCC